rnacentral:rRNA from 1 species
GACGAACGCUGGCGGCGUGCCUAACACAUGCAAGUCGAGCGGGGACAUUUAGCAAUAGAUGUUCUAGCGGCGGACGGGUGAGUAACGCGUGAGCAAUCUGUCCCGGAAUGGGGGAUAACAGAUGGAAACAUCUGCUAAUACCGCAUAAGACCACGAGGUCACAUGGCCUUGAGGUAAAAGGAGCAAUCCGAUCCGGGGUGAGCUCGCGUCCGAUUAGCCAGUUGGCGGGGUAACGGCCCACCAAAGCGACGAUCGGUAGCCGGCCUGAGAGGGCGAUCGGCCACACUGGAACUGAGAGACGGUCCAGACUCCUACGGGAGGCAGCAGUGGGGAAUAUUGGGCAAUGGGGGAAACCCUGACCCAGCAACGCCGCGUGAGGGAAGAAGGUUUUCGGAUUGUAAACCUCUGUCCUUGGUGACGAAGGAAGUGACGGUAACCAAGGAGGAAGCCCCGGCUAACUACGUG